ACAGCGGGGAGGGAGGGCUCCUGUCCCUGCAUCUUUGCCUGGGUUAGCCAGAUGCCCAGGAAGGGAGAAGGAAUGCUGCCCCCUUUAGCCUUUGAGGUGGGAGGAGGGGCCCUGGCUCCCAUGACAGCUCACAAAAUGGGGAUUGCCCCUUACUAGGAGCGGUGUGCGGAUGCUGAUCAGCCCACCGAAUGCUCACCACUGAGGGGCUGCAGCGGCCAGGUGUGAGGGGAAGAGACUGCAGAGAGGUGACAAGGCCGUCAAAGGAGAGGAGCCACCACUGGGGAGCCUGGUGGCUCAGGAAGGCAGCUGGUGUGGGUGUGGGAGAGUCGGAUCAGAAGGCCAGCACUGCUCAUCAUGGAGCACCUGGGAGAGCAGCAGCGACUCAGCUCCUGGCACCAGGUCCCUGUGAUUAGCUUGGUGUGUGUCCAGCCCUCCCUCUGCAUUUCACACGGAUAUGCGAACAGUGGAUCAGGCUUGGGUUUGUUUCUUCCAAUAAACGGCAUCAUGCGGUAUGUAUUGUUCUUUAAUGUGCUUUUGGAGACGUUUCCAAUCCAGCAAACCCUUUUAUCCAUUUCAUAAUAUUCCGUAGAAUGCAUGCUCCCCAUCUUGAGGGAAGUUUGGGUUGUUUCAUUCUGCUUUGUUAGGACGAAUGCCUGCUUUUGUGCACACAGUUGAGUAUGGGGCUGGGAUUUGAGGGGAAGAGGCUCUGUUUGAGUCCCUGUUGAUGUGAGGUGAAGGUGUGUUGGUCCGGCACUAAGCAGGCAGUGGACAAUACAUGCUGAGCUGGGUUGGGAGUGGACUCUUGGGAUUCGGGACUCAAAAAUAAUGUACGGCCAGGUAAAUUGCUGGUUUUGCUUCUGGGUCACAGGAAGGGCUGCGGUCCCCGCAGACCCAGAUGCGUCCACUAGAUGGCGCCAAAGCCAGUAAGGUGAGGCGCUUGUGACAGAAGCCCCGACUUGCUGCAGGAGUCUGGGCCCAGGGUCUGACUCCUGAGCUCCUAGGAGAUGGAUGAAUAUUCUUCCUGCACCGCCAGCUGCCUCGCUUAAACGUGGGGAGGCUGAAGAGGGUGCAAAGCUGGGUGAACAUGAGUGAUUAGACAGGAUGUGCCCUGGCCAAGACAGGGAGCUGAAAUUCAGUCUGUGGAACAGGCUGUGAUGGCCCAGAGGAAAUCCAUAGGUGGGAGGAAAACUAUGGACCCUGUGCUCCAUAUUGCCAGGACCUGCAGAGGAACUAGCUCCUGCAGAAGAUGCAGGAUUUGGACGGGAAGAUUGGGCAAGGGUUCUGUCUACUGGGCACUGAAGGUUUGAUGGGGACACUGGGAUGGUCCCUGCCACCAAAGCAGCUCAAGCUCAGGCAGAGGAAAUAGAAACUGGACAAAUGCAGUAUUUCUUAUGGGCACUGCUCUAAGGAGUAAUUUGGAAUCCAGUAGGGUGAUGUAAGUGAAGGUGCUUUGAAACCUCCCAAAGCUCUCGCCCAGGUAAGGAGGUUUGUGGUCCUUGUCACCAUUUACCCAGGAAAGCUUCAAAGCAGCAGCGGCGGCGGCGGCGGCGGCGGCGGCAGCAGAAUUUCCCUCCUUCCCUCCUGUUACUCUCCCAGCCUCCUCUCCCUCCUAUCACUCUCCUAAGUUCAGAGCUGACCCCACUCCUCUGCUACCCAUGGUGGUAGCCAGGCCUGUGCCUCUCCUAGCAUCAGAAGCUGCCCCAGGCUCCCAGGACUGGAGCUCAGAUCUGAUUUUGAAAAACUGAAUGAAUGGGUGAGAGCGGUGGCUUAUGCCUGUACUCCCAGCAUUUUGGAAGAUUGAGGUGGGUGAAUUGCUUGAGCUCAGGAGUUCAAGACCAGCCUGGGCAACAUGGUGAAACCCUGUCUUUACAAAAAAAUACAAAAAUUAGCUGGACAUGGUGGCACACACCUGUAGUCCCAGCUACCUGGGAGGCUGAGGUAGGAGGAUUGCUUGAACCACGGGAGACAGAGGUCGCAGUGAGCCAAGAUUGUGCCACUUUACUCCAGCCUGGAUGACAGAGCGAGAUUGUCUCAAAAAAAAAAAAAAAAAGAAAAAAGAAAAAAAAAAAGCCGGGCACGGUGGCUUAUGCCUGUAAUCCCAGGACUUUGGGAGGCCAAGGCGGGUGGGUCACGAGGUCACGAGAUCGAGACCAUCCUGGCUAACACAG
rnacentral:lncRNA from 10 species